rnacentral:lncRNA from 1 species
GGAACAUGACCUGAAGGUUGCUUACAUCGAGGAUGGUCACAGUCAAUGGGCCUGAGCUGUCACAUAGCCACAUCUAGCUGCAAGGGACACAGACAAACAGUCUUGAGUCAGGUAAACCAUGUGAGAUCUCCCCAUCUAGGAAGUCUGUCCAUCCCAAUAAUGUCCUCAGGGACCAGCAAAAUGACCACCGGGUGAGUCCCAUGAACUCAAUGGCUCUCUUGUGGGAUGAAUCUGGAGGAGGUUCAUGUGCCUCUGUGCACCUGCACUAGGAAAGAGGGGCCAUGAUGCUUUUUAGGUUCCACUUGUAGGAGCAAUGACUAACACCCUUCCAGAGGACUAUGCUCCUCAGAAAACAACUGCAAAACCUGGACUCAAUACAAAAGCAACUCUGAAGUACUGAGUGAACAGAAGCAGACAGUCUCUAGUGAAAAGUGUGAGCUGGCAUGAAGAAAGGAUGAUGGGGAGCUGAACAAAUUGGUUCUCAUCUGUCCAGACUUUAGCCUGAGGCUAAGUGAAUUCCAUGUGGUGCACACAGUGGAAGUGGGGGUGCAAACAUGGAAAAAACCUGCAGCAUUUGUGGUCUGAGAAGCCAGAAAAGUGAAGCCAAGAAAUUGUGAACAUUGAAAAGAGAGGGGAAAAGUUUACAAGGGAAAGGCAAGAGAGGGGAUCCCCACAUUUUGUGUGUCCACGUUUCUGACUGACUCCUGAACUAUGUACCAUGGAACAGACAAGCCUUCACCAGACGCCAAAACUGCCAGUGCCUCAAUCAUGGACUUCCCAGCCUCCAGAACAGUGAGAAAAUACAUUUUUGUUCUUUAUAAGUUCCUCAGUCUUCGUUAUUUUGUUAUAGCAGCACAACAACAAAAGACAAAAGCCAGAGAUAGCACGCAAAACUUGUAAGCAGCAAGAGGAAAAUGACAGAUUGUACCGGGGAGCAACAAUCCUAGUAACAUCCAACUUUUCUUCAAAAAUCAUGGAAGGCAGAAGAGAGUGGAGCAAAAAACCUGUCAACCCAAGAUUCUAUAACCAAUGAAAAUAACAUUCAAGAAUAGGCCAGGCAUGGUGGCUCAUGCCUGUAAUCCUAGGACUUUGGGAGGCCAAGGCAGAUGGAUCGCCUGAACCCAGGAGUUUGAGACCAACCGGGGCAACAUAGAAAGAUCUCAUAUCUACAAAAAAUAGAAAAUGUAGCCACGUGUGGUGGUGCAUACCUGUAGUCCCAGCUACUUGCGAGGCUGAAGUGGGAGAGGAUCACUUGAGUUUGGGAGAUUGAGGCUGCAGUGAGCUGUGAUCACACCAGCGCACUCCAGCCUGGGUGACAGAGUAAGACCCUGUCUCAAAAAAAACGAACAAACAGACAUUUUCAUUUAAAAGAAAAGUUACAGAAUUAGUUACCAGCAAACCUGCACUGUAGGAAAUACUAAAGAAAGUCAUUCAGUCUGGAGAAAAACCAUAUAGAAACUUGGAUUCUCUGAAAAUAAUAAAAAGCAUGAGUAAUGGCAAGUACCUGGCUAAACACAAGUUUUUUUUCUUUUUGCCUUUUACCUCUUAAUUAUUUUAAUAAACCACAUUUAAAAAAUUAUAACAUGGUCUUUUGGGGUUUGUAAUGUUAUAGAUGACUACAUAUAAAAACCAUAAAAUAGAAAGGA